AUUGAACGCUGGCGGCAGGCUUAACACAUGCAAGUCGAACGAGUGGCGGUCGGGCGAGUAAUGCUUGGGAAUCUAGCUUAUGGAGGGGGAUAACUAAGGGAAACUGUAGCUAAUACCGCGUACAAUAGGAUGAGCCCAAGUAGGAUUAGGUAGUUGGUGAGGUAAAGGCUCACCAAGCCGACGAUCUCUAGCUGGUCUAGGAGGAUGACCGGCCACACGGGGACUGAGACACGGCCCAGACUCCUACGGGAGGCAGCAGUGGGGAAUAUUGCGCAAUGGGGGCAACCUGACGCAGCCAGGCCGGGUGAAUGAAGAAGGCCUUGGGGUUGUAAAGAUCUUUCGGUGGCGAGGCGUGAACUACAGAAGAAGCACCGGCUAACUCGGUGCCAGCGGCGGCGUAAAUC
rnacentral:rRNA from 1 species